ensembl:lncRNA
CGCGGCUCGGCGCAGGCUCAGUGCUCACAGCCGCAGUCCCGGCCGGAGGAGGGGGACUCGGCAGCUCAGCAUCUUCGCAGCGGGUUAAGUAGGAUUAAUACCAAAUCCCUAUUAUAUUUGCCAAGCAACUUGAAUUUAUCAAAAUUCCCCCUCGCUGUUCUGGAGCUCCGAGAGGAGGAAAUAUUGCUUACAGUGUAAGAUCCGGACAUAGCAGCAAGCAGGGAAUGCCAGCACACUGCAUCACACUGCUCCCCGCACCAGCCACACAAUCGCAACACGGAGAUCCCACUGUUCCCGUCCCUUUGUGCUUUAAAUGCGAUCGGGACACUAAAUAGGUUCGCCAGAGGAAGGGCGGGGUGGGAGAGCUUGUAACCUCCCUGCCAUAAACUUUAAUCGGAUUCCGAACUGUUGCACGGUGCGGGCUCCUCCUGACCGUGGCAUCUUCCCCGCUGUCCCCCAUGUCUACCACCGCGGUUUGCUUUGCGAGAGCGUUUUCCAAGCGAAUGAGUGAUCUCUUUCUCUUGCCAUGUGUAGUGUCACCCUUCCCCCUCCCCACCCCCACCCCCCCUGCCCCCCGCCCCACUCCCGGCCUCCGUACACACACUGCGCCUUUCACACUCGGGCUGCCCCCGGCCCCCCUCCCCUUCUCUCCCCUUUGCAGUGUCUUCACAUGCAAUCUCUCUCUGAAUGUGCAAUGUCUUUCCUGCUCGGGAGUGCCUCGUCCUUCACAGUGGAUUGGUUCCUCUUUCGGAGCAGAGGGCAGGCAAACGGCGUGGGAAAUGGGCCCGACGUGCACUGCAUGGUGGAUGGCAGUGUCGCUCCGGCUCCACGUGUCGCGGCUGCCGGGAGGGGGCCAGGGCUGGCCUGCCCCCUUCCCCCCUCCCCCCGCAUCCCGCUGCUUCGUUUCGUGCUGGGGAAGUGGGGGGGAAGGGAAGCCCAGCCACCCCCCGGCCCCGCGGAGAGCCGGUCCCAGCGGCUGCGGGCGGGGGAGGGCUCCCCCCACAACCAGCCGGGCAAAGCUGUUGCGCAGCACAGCCCCCCCUGCCCACCCGAUGCGCACAGACGCCCACACGCGCUCAGACGUUUGUCCUCCUGAUCUGGUGAGAUCAAGUGGGAAGCGGGAUCGCCAGCGUAAUCGGCUGUAAUAAAUAAAAUAGCCCGAGAUGCCGGAGAUAUACAGAGGGGAAAUAAGAGCUUGUGUCCUUAAAGGGAACAUCUGAUAAGGCCACGGAGGUGGCAUCGUGCGUGUGGGAAGGAAUCCGUCUUGCUGACAUUCGCAGCCUGCUGUACGUGGGGGAAUCCUAAAGCAGGCUGGGAGCUUCCCCAGCUCCUCUGCACCCCCCAGCGCUGCUUUUCGAAGCUCUGCAACGGGGCUUUCCUACUGUGGUAGUGAUUGGAAAGACGGGGUCACGGCUGAGAUAUGCAGAUGCCAUUAGUGUUUGUUCGGCUAUGUCCCGGCGGUCCCUGCUCCCUCCGCCUUCAGCCCGGAACGGUUCGGUUCUGCAGUUCGGGAAUGUCGGUGCCUCUGACCAGAGAGUUACCUUUCUGGUCUGCAGUGGGAGCCAACCUCAAGAGAAGGGUUAUUUAAUCAUUUAUAUAGCUUUGUGCGUUAAUCAAUGCGUAUUAUUAGUUUGUGCCCACACACGCACGCGCACCAAAGAAGGGGGAAAAAAAUCAGGUGAGCUGGGAAAUAACAUAUUCAUAAUAAUACGAGGAAAAGGUUAAAUACAGUAAACAUGACAGCAAAUUCGAACGCGGGAGAAAAACGACGACAAAACCCCCAUAGAAAGCAGUUAAAACCGUUUGGCUGAAGGGAGAAAGUAACUCAAGAACUCCACCAAGGGACAAACAGAGGAAAUGACACCACAACAGCGCUAAGCCCGCGUUGACCUUUCAUCUCACUAAAGUGUCCCGCUGCUCUGGUGCAGUUCUGCUGUGAUCCCUUCACCUUCCUCCCCUCCCUCCGAGCUCCCGAGUCGGCGGCAGUGUUUGAGCGCGGAGGUCGCAGAAUUACGAGGGCUGACACUUGCCCGGUGCCUUUCACAGCUUUGCAGAAACUCUCACUGUGCAGCAGUGUGGACAAAAAUGAUUAAAUUAUUCAUUGCAGCCUUACUGAUGGACAUUAAAACUUAAGUGUUUAAAUAAGGAAACCGAAGAUUUACUUUUAAGCUGAUAAUAACUGCAUCUGUGCUGGUUGAAUUGAAUGCUGGCUAAAUGUGGAACUGGUUACGUUGUUUAAAUCCUCUCUCUUUUACUCACUGUGAGCAGUGUGAACUGGAUAACACAACUAUGUUACUGGCAGAGCAAACUGUUUAAAUCUUACGUAAUUAUAACUGUUUGCUCUUAAAGCAGUAUUUGAGGUCUAUUCAAAAUAAAAGGUUGUUUUCUUGCAUCAGCAUCAUUUCACCAACCUGAGUUCUUACAUUUACAAAAGAAUGCUUCCAAGUAACAUUAAGGAAAAGUAGUAGUUGCUCUUUUUAAAAAAAAUUAUUUAUUUAUUCCAGUGUAUAUUGCCUCUACAAAUUGCAAUGAAUAAGCUUGAGGCCUUGAAGCUUUUAUUUCCUUUUUGUUUUUUAAAAAAAGUCUCAAUUCCAUAGGAUCAGUUCUGAAGGGACUUUUCCAAGCGGUGUUGUUAGCGGGGGUUUUUUGUUGUUAUUGUUGUUGGGUUUUUUGUUUGUUUGUUUGUUUUCAGGUGCCAAAAUAUCCAAGCAUUCAAAAUCAUGCAGAAGUGUUUCCAGCUGUCUUAGUUUCAACUGGGACAGAAUAUUAUGCUUGAAAUGAGAAGGAAAAAUUAUUGUAAAGUUUUUAAAAAGCGUACAAAUUUUCAUGAGGGAAGGCAGAUAUGGGGUAUCUUUAUGCUUUAUUGAAAACUACUGGAUUUUCUGGAUGUGUAGGAAUACAAGUAACUGCUGUACACUGCUCCAUUAUUUUAUAGAAUUAGUAUUAUUUAUUUAAACUACUCUUCCAUUUUUUAAGUGCAAAGAAAACUGUAGGGAAAAAAAAAGUAGUUAUGGUGUGUGUGCAUGAAUUCAUAGCAAAAACAGGGAAAUUAUGAAUCAUUAGAGUGUAUUCUAUUUAAGGAGAAACAAUGAGACAUUCAGGGGAAAUAAUUAAGGCUGGAUCUAAUGUAAAUGAAAUGUAUUGAAACCAGGUAACACUGACAAAGAAAGAAAAAUGUGUUAAUUGUCACUGGAAAUAUUAAAUGUUGACAGUUGUUACACAUAUGGACUCACCAGUACAGAACACCACUGUUAAGUUUAGAAAUAAUGUAGGAUUUUUUGCUGCAAUGUUUUAUAUUUUUAAAUGUAUACUUUUUAUAUAAAUUUAAUAUCAGUGGUGAGCACAUUUAAGGUCUCAAAGCACUGUGUAAAUUAUCUCUGUGAGAUGGAGGGAACUGCAGUGACCUGUUCAGUCACCCAGUAAGCCACUAACAAAUGGCUCUUUCCAGGUUCCUCAGACCACAGCUUAGCAGUUCUACAGUUUUUGAAUGUAUCCUGGAUUUGGCUCAGUAUUCUUCUUUUAAUAUGUGGCAGUUAUUUCCUCUUUAUUUUAUGGACUGAUGGAAAGUCAAAGCAGCUCAUUCUAAAGAGAGUUUAAAACAAAUUUGUGUACCAGAGAACUUCACAUACAAAGGAAAGUCUUGUAUCAUGCAACGUAUUGGGUACCAGUAAAACAUAACAAACAGUUAUAUUGGAAUAAGUUAUCCUCAAGUUUUUAUUCUGUCUUAUUUUUGUCAGCUAACCCUAAUACACAGAACAAUUUGCACAGGCUUUCUAAAACAAUUUUGCUUCUACAUACUGAUGACAUUUUCUCAACUUAAUUUCAUUUUUCUCUUCUAUGCUCUACAUGUAUUUAUUUAUUUAUUAUCCAGUUUCAGCUUUCUGUUGGGUAGAAACAGAAAUAUCUGAGCAAGAUGGCAGCUCUGCAGAGCUCAAAGAAAGAAGUUAAUAUAUUAAAAUUCAAGUGCUGUGAUGGACAACUGAAUUCUAUGCAAAUUAAGCCUCUUCUUUUAGGAAAGACGAGGAAUUACCGGAGAGAUUCCAGAGAAGGGCUACAAAGAUGAAUAGCAUCUGGAGCAUCUCCCUUUAUGAAGAAAGACUGAGAGAUCUGAGACGGAGGCUACAGAAGACUGAGAAGGGGAUCUGAUCAAUGCUUAUAAAUUUCUAAUGGUCAGGAGUCAAGAGGACAUGACUAUGCUCUUUUCAUUGGUGCCCAGUGACAGAACAAGGGGCAAUGGAUGCAAACUGGAGCACGGGAAGUUCCAUGCAAGUAUGAGGAAAAACCUCUAUACUUUGGAGAUGACAGAACACUAGAACAAGAUGCCCAGAGUCAACCAGAAAUCUUGAAACACAGAAGACCAGUGUACCUUAUGCUAUCUCAAAAGUAAAAGACAGCACUAAGGGCAAAGCUGUCUCACAGUAUUCCACACUUCUGUUGUAUAGAGAAAGAAUUUAGGAUUUAUCUGACUGUAUCAAUUCCAUGUACUUUAGGGUAUUGAAAUCAUAUGUAGCCUGACAUUGUUUCUAUGAUUUGUUCACCAACUGGCUAUUUUGUACUCUUAUAUGUUCCUAGCACAGAUGAAUUUUUUUACAUAUAAUCAAACACUCUUUAGGGACUUAAAGUGGAAUAAUCCAAAACACACUAAAUAAUUAUAUUGCUUAAUAAAAAGUUUUUUUUUAAUUUUUUUUUUUAUUUUGGGCAAAAUUCCAAUUUCUUUUUAAAACAGAAAAAUUGUUUUCCAGAAAGAGAGCUUGAGGGACUUCUUUCAGGAAACAUUUCCUAACUCUGUUAGUUAAGGUAACUUUAUACCCCCAAGAGCAUUUUAAUCGUCAUCUUUCUAAAUAAGGAGGCUUAAAGUUAGACUUCUUACCUGCUUGCGUAAUCCUUGACUACUAAUUGCUGUAUUGUACAGUCUUUUUCUGGUUUUGCAUAAGACCUCAUCAGCAGAAGAUAACUAUCAACAUUGCAAAAUAAUUGUAGCCAAAAUACUGCUCUCAUCAUUUCUUUAUUUUUCCUGAUUAAAAACGUGUUGGCAGAAAAUGUCUGACUAGACCUAGUACCUAAGCUGUGCAUUUCUGAAGUGAAAACACUAAGGAGUGUUACCGACUUGUAACAUUUGUACAUUUAGCAUACUUAGAGAAGAAAACAACCAUUGAUCUGUGUUUGUUGAAAUAAACAUUGGCAAGAUUGUAGCUAGAAAUCUGCAAUCAGUAACUGUAUUGGUAUUUUGCCAGGAGUUCUCAGCAUCAACUGUUGCUUUAAUCUGACAGAAAGUAGGAAUUACUUCCUAGGCCUGAAUAGCUUCAAAGUUAUUUUUUAUUAAGGUACUGAAGUUUAAUCUCUGGAAUAUAUUUUUAUGAAAAAUAUGAAAGCUAAAUGUAAAAACAUAAUAAUCUGGGCAUAAUUUAUAGUAUUAAUAGAAAUGCUUUCCAUUGAUAAAACAAUCUUAGGUAUUUUAUCAGUAUAAAGUAAUUUCUUUUACCAUUCUGAAAACUUUUAAAAAUAAACACACUAUGUAUUUUUGAAAUGUAACCUUUCCCUUCUCCCCCCCCCAUUUUUUUACAUCUGUUAAUAGUUUACAUUCCCGGCAAAUAAGUCUGGUGUUUAUCAGGGGCUUGAAACAAUUAAGUACAUUUGAAUGCAUAUGGUGCUCUGAAACAUGCUUUACUCCAAG